AUGUUAUUCACUUCAUCAGUAGGUUGUUGUUACAAUUUCUGUUACAACAAUCGCUGUUACAACAGUUGCUGUUACAACAAUGACUAUUUCAAAAAUUUAAUUUGCUUCAUCUAUGGGUUGUUUUACAACAGUUGCUGUUACAACAUGUGCUCUUACAACAGUAGCUGUUACAACAGUUGGUGUUACAACAAUGUUAUUCCCUUCAUCAGUAGGUUGUUGUUAAAUUUCUGUUACAAUCGCUGUUACAACAGUUGCUGUUACGACAAUGACUAUUUCAAAAAUGUUAUUUGCUUCAUCUAUGAGUUGUUUUACAACAGUUGCUGUUACAACAGUUGCUGUUACAACAAUGACUAUUUCAAAAAUGUUAUUUGCUUCAUCAAUGGGUUGUUUUACAACAAUCGCUGAUACAACCCUCACUGUUAAAACAACCUCUAUUACAACCAUCACUUUAACAACAUUACACUUGUGGGUUGUUGUUACAAUUUCUGUUACAACAACCACUGUUAAAAUGUUAUUCGCUUUAUCUGUUGGUUGUUGUUAUAACAAUUGCUGUUGCAACAAUCGCUGUUACAAAAACUUUAUUCACUUCACCUGUUGGUUGUUUUUACAAUUUCUGUUAUAACAACCACUGUUAAAACAACGUUAUUUGCAUCAUCUGUGGGUUGUUGUUACAACAAUUGCUGUUACAAACAAUUGCUGUUACAAUAAUCGCUGUUACAACAAUCGCUGUUACAAUAGUCAAUGUUACUACAACGUUAUUCACUUCAUCUGUAGAUUGUUGUUACAAUAAUUGCUGUUAAACUAUUACUUAUAAUAACAAUGUUAUUUGCUUUAUCUUUGAAUACUUAAGUUUUGGCUCAUCCGUGUAUUACCAAAGCUGCCCUUUCUUCUGUCCCUUCUUGUCUGCAUCUUCACUCUUGUUGGGUUCGGUGAGGCCUCCUCAGAUAUGUCCUCAACUCUCCAUAUGUCUUCAUAUGGUACUUCAGUGUGAAUGGGCCACAGCAGCGUUGGUCACCAGACUGAACUGGAGCUCUUCUCCCUGUUGUAAAUCCUCAUCGUCAUUCCGUCACACUUACUGUUGCCUCUUCUGUACAGAUGGUCUACUUAGAUGAAUUCAGCUCUUUCUUACUUAUUAUUAAAUUAUAUGAAAUUAAAUGAAAAUCAAUUCAAUUAAAUGAUCUUUUGGAAAGCAAGCUGAUUUUUGUGUUUUUUUUGUCACUAGAUUACCAGUUAUCAGUUGCUUGUUUGUUUGCAACUUUUUGAUCAGAUAAAUGUUUUCUAAGUGCCAUUUUUUUUUUACCAUAGGAAUAAAUGGGAGGCAAAAGUUGGCUAGCCA
rnacentral:lncRNA from 1 species